AGUGAACGCUGGCGGUAGGCCUAACACAUGCAAGUCGAACGGCAGCACAGGAGAGCUUGCUCUCUGGGUGGCGAGUGGCGGACGGGUGAGGAAUACAUCGGAAUCUACUCUGUCGUGGGGGAUAACGUAGGGAAACUUACGCUAAUACCGCAUACGACCUACGGGUGAAAGCAGGGGAUCUUCGGACCUUGCGCGAUUGAAUGAGCCGAUGUCGGAUUAGCUAGUUGGCGGGGUAAAGGCCCACCAAGGCGACGAUCCGUAGCUGGUCUGAGAGGAUGAGCAGCCACACUGGAACGGAGACACGGUCAGGACGCCUACGGGAGGCAGCAGUGGGGAAUAUUGGACAAUGGGCGCAAGCCUGAUCCAGCCAUACCGCGUGGGUGAAGAAGGCCUUCGGGUUGUAAAGCCCUUUUGUUGGGAAAGAAAUCCAGCUGGCUAAUACCCGGUUGGGAUGACGGUGCCCAAAGAAUAAACACCGGCCAACUUCGUGCCAGCCGCCGCCGUAA
rnacentral:rRNA from 1 species